GGGAAGUGAAGAACUGCCAAGCACUUAGAUCCUUAUUGUGAAGACUAACUGAAGAGAAGCAUGCAAAACACAAGCUCAUGCCAAUACAUCUUCAUAGCCAAUGCUGGGAAACAUCACCAAUUACUGUGGCUGUUUACAGAGCACAAGAACAGAAUAU
rnacentral:lncRNA from 12 species